ensembl:lincRNA
AGGCAGAAUUCAGCAGAUGGCAGAAACCACCCUCUCCAAUACCCUGAAUAGUCAAUGUACCCCAAGCGUACACACUGUCACAACGGGAGGGACAGAGUGCAGACAUUUGACAGCAGGGGGCAGUCUCAGGCACACCUCAGUGGGACAUGGAUCUCUGAAGAGACUGCGCCUCCUGAAGCUUGACUGCUAAACUGAAGGUAGCCAUGAAAAUAUAUCCAGCAGCAGCCACCACAGACCACCCGGCUGGCUGAGGGUGUUUUAUCCCAGGAACAGAAGCAAACCCAGGACAACUGCUGGCCAUUCUUACCUGCAUGUGCACCAUCUAAGCAAAGCAAGCGCUCAUCUCGAACGUGAGGCUGAGCCCAGAUUCUGCUGCCUACCAAUCUCUGUCCAUUUAGCCUCACCACAGCAUGGCCUGUUUUUUCUUUCUUCUGCCUCUGGAUUGAUUAGCUGCUUUGUGUCCCUAGGAAGAUGAAUCAGCGAUCUCCGUAAGAGACAAGGUUCAUGGUUUACCGAGUUGUCAGUCAGUGGCUACAUGGCUUUGAGACCUUUGGCCAGACCAUCCACAAUGGCAGAAGAACCCGGAAGAGAAGGACACUCUCUCUGUUGGUCGUGACAGCAAAGACAGAGGACAGGACUGGAGUCCCAGUGCAGCUAUCAAAAGCAUGCCCAGGUGAGGUCGCUGGCACAAGACCCCUCCUCCUAAAGCUUCUGCUACCUCCCGCUAGUGCCAUAGCCCUACCUUUAGUAUGUGGGCUUUGGAGAUGUUUAAUACUCCUAGGAAUUACACAAAGCACCCCCCCAUUCCAUCUGGGCUCCCCUCUCUUGUGUCCCUAACUGUUCACUGGAUACAAUUAUCAGAAUACACAAAUGUCCUUGUUCCUCUCAGACUAAACUAUAAAAACCACUCGGGGAAGAAAAUCCUUCACUUCCUUUUAAUCUCUUUAUAUCACUUACUGGGAUUCUUAACUCAUAAAUGAAUGAAAGCCAAGGCUGAGCCGGCUUACAAAGAGCAGUGCAUAUUUGAUCAGGCUAGUUGAGGGUACAGCCCAGCUAUGAGCAGCCUUGCCUACUUCAUUUACUAAUCGUUACUGUUAAUCUCAGGCUCCCAGGUCAGAAAAGCAUAUAUCCCACAGCAAAAGAUCUUCUAGACAAUGCAUACUGUAUUUUCCCUUUGUUGGCAGGAAAAUUAUCUGUCGUCCAGGAAACCAUCUCUCCUCAUCACAGCUGCAAGAAGCCAGAAUAAAUUAAUAAAAUCAAGAUGUCUGGACCACCCUGGACCCCAGCACUUCCUUGCACUCACUGUGUCUUGUCUGUGAAUGUCCCCAGUCCUAGAACAGUAAAAAUAUGUUAAUUUUGUGCACCUUUUUUUUUUGUAUUUACAUCAUUAAUAAGGUAUUGGCUUUUGUAAUUUAGUUUAUUUUUCUCUUUGAAUAUCAUACAGUUAGUUACUUGUGUCUGAGGUGAUAUUGAUAAAUUUUGGGUUAAAUUCUGCUGUGUCCUUCCUGUUCCUUUCCUGGACGCUGUCUUUUAUGGCCCUUGGUUUUAUGGCUUUUCUCCUGUGUUCCUGUUAAUUCUCCCCUUUUCAUUUCUUCAUCUUUAAGUUGGAAUGUGUUCUUUUUUUUUUUAGUCCCAAUAGCUACUCUAAAGCAUGUGGCAUUUAAGUUAUUAAAUCAAAAAUUAUUCAAUCU